rnacentral:SRP_RNA from 1 species
GCAGGUGGUGGUGGCCCACACCUAUAGUCCCAGAUACUCAGGAGGCUGAGACAGGAGGAUCACUUGAGUCCAGGAGUUCUGGGCUUUAGUGCACUAUGCCAACCAGGUGUCCACACUAAGUUCAGCAUCAAUAUGGUGACCUCCCAGGAGUGGGGAGCCACCAGGUUGCCUAAGGAGGGAUGAACUGGCCCAGAUUGUAAAUGAAGCAGGUCAAAACUCCCAUGCUGAUUUUUUUCUGUUAAAGUAUAUCAAGGACUUAUUGAGAUAU